rnacentral:rRNA from 1 species
GAGCAACCUGCCUAUUAGAGGGGAAUAACAGUGAGAAAUCAUUGCUAAUACCGCAUAAGCUAGUAAUGCUGCAUGGCAUAGCUAGAAAAGGAGCAAUCCGCUAAUAGAUGGGCUCACGUCCGAUUAGCUAGUUGGUGGGGUAACGGCCUACCAAGGCAACGAUCGGUAGCCGAGCUGAGAGGCUCUACGGCCACAUUGGGACUGAGAUACGGCCCAGACUCCUACGGGAGGCAGCAGUCGGGAAUAUUGCGCAAUGGAGGAAACUCUGACGCAGUGACGCCGCGUAUAGGAAGAAGGUUUUAGGAUUGUAAACUAUUUUAGGCAGGGAAGAAAUUGACUGUACCUGCAGAAUAAGCUCCGGCUAACUACGUG